rnacentral:rRNA from 1 species
UACGAAGGGUGCAAACGUUGCUCGGAAUUAUUGGGCGUAAAGCGCACGUAGGCGGUUUGUUAAGUCGGAUGUGAAAUCCCUCGGCUCAACUGAGGAAGUGCAUCCGAAACUGGCAGGCUUGAGUACUAAAGAGGGUCGCGGAAUUCCCGGUGUAGAGGUGAAAUUCGUAGAUAUUGGGAAGAACACCGGUGGCGAAGGCGGCUAUCUGGACCGACAUUGACGCUGAUGCGCGAAAGCGUGGGGAGCAAACAGG